CGAGUCAUUGUAGCAAUACAAGGCAUACGGCUCAGUAACGCGUAGUCCACCUAACCUAUGGACGGGAAUAACCUCGGGAAACUGAGAAUAAUGCCCGAUAGAACAUUAUGCCUGGAAUGGUUUAUGUUCCAAAUGAUUUAUCGCCGUAGGAUGGGACUGCGGCCUAUCAGUUUGUUGGUGAGGUAAUGGCCCACCAAGACUAUUACAGGUACGGGCUCUGAGAGGAGUAGCCCGGAGAUGGGUACUGAGACACGGACCCAGGCCCUAUGGGGCGCAGCAGGCGAGAAAACUUUGCAAUGUGCGAAAGCACGACAAGGUUAAUCCGAGUGGUUUCUGCUAAAGAAACCUUUUGUCAGUCCUAGAAACACUGAUGAAUAAGGGGUGGGCAAGUUCUGGUGUCAGCCGCCGCGGUAAAACCAGCACCUCAAGUGGUCAGGAUGAUUAUUGGGCCUAAAGCAUCCGUAGCCGGCUCUGUAAGUUUUCGGUUAAAUCUGUACGCUCAACGUACAGGCUGCCGGGAAUACUGCAGAGCUAGGGAGUGGGAGAGGUAGACGGUACUCGGUAGGAAGGGGUAAAAUCCUUUGAUCUAUUGAUGACCACCUGUGGCGAAGGCGGUCUACCAGAACACGUCCGACGGUGAGGGAUGAAAGCUGGGGGAGCAAACCGGAUUAGAUACCCGGGUAGUCCCAGCUGUAAACUAUGCAAACUCAGUGAUGCAUUGGCUUGUGGCCAAUGCAGUGCUGCAGGGAAGCCGUUAAGUUUGCCGCCUGGGAAGUACGUACGCAAGUAUGAAACUCAAAUGAAUUGACGG
rnacentral:rRNA from 1 species